rnacentral:rRNA from 1 species
AUUGCACCAGAAGUAGAUAGUCUAACCUUCGGGAGGGCGUUUACCACGGUGUGCUUCAUGACUGGGGUGAAGUCGUAACAAGGUAGCCGUAGGGGAACCUGUGGCUGGAUCACCUCCUU